rnacentral:misc_RNA from 1 species
ACCGAAGCCAAUCCACAUGACUGGAUUGCGAAAGAACGCAGGUGCCCGACCGGCACUCGCCUGCCCUGGAUGAUCGAGAUCUUCGGUCAUUUCCAUGGGCAAGCGCAGCAAUGGGAAAGCGAGAGCUUCGCGCUCGGCCCAUUGCGCGCGUAGCAUCACACCCAGGCAACCCAGCAUAAAGUAGGUAACCAGGAUCAUCGAGCAC